UGCCUUCAUGUGUUGCCCGUUCAUUGUGUUCAUGGUGAACGAGGUGUCAGCUAAGGCAUACAGUGACUCUUGCAGUUGUUUUGAGAUGAGUCAUCAAUGAUUCCUCUUAUUACAUAUUUGCAAGGACACAU
ensembl:snoRNA small nucleolar RNA SNORA13